CCAUCCUCUCCAACGACUACGAGGGACAACACCUGAAGUGGCGAACGGGUGAGUAACACGUGGGAACGUAUCUUUUGCAGGGGGAUAACUGACCGAAAGGACAGCUAAUACCGCAUAAGUCCGAGAGGAGAAAGGUGCAACAGCAUCGGCAGAAGAGCGGCCCGCGGUCCAUCAGCUAGUUGGUGAGGUAAGGGCUUACCAAGGCGACGACGGAUAGCCGGCGUGAGAGCGUGGCCGGCCACAAGGACA
rnacentral:rRNA from 1 species